CUCCAUAUAUCUUUGGAACCUGCCAGGUGUGGCAGUCUCCCUUCCUACCUAUGGAAGGGUAUGUUCUUGUUUAUUGGCAAAGCUGUCACCAUUUAAGUGGCAUUGAAUUCUGAAUGACACAAUUAACAUUC
ensembl:snoRNA